rnacentral:rRNA from 1 species
UACGGAGGGUGCGAGCGUUGUCCGGAAUCGCUGGGCGUAAAGGGCGCGUAGGCGGCUUGGGAAGUCCGUGGUGAAAGCUCGAGGCUCAACUUCGAGUCGGCCAAGGAUACUCCUAAGCUCGAGUCGACUAGAGGCAGAUGGAAUUCCGGGUGUAGCGGUGGAAUGCGUAGAGAUCCGGAAGAACACCGGUGGCGAAGGCGGUCUGCUGGGGUCGAACUGACGCUGAGGCGCGACAGCGUGGGGAGCAAACAGG